GGCGCGUCCGGCCUUCCUGAACACCUUAGGCUGGUGGGGCUGCGGCAAGAAGCGGGUCUGUUUCUUUACUUCCUCCACGGAGUCGGCACACUAUGGCUGCCCUCUGGGCUCCCAGAACCCACAACAUGAAAGGAAUCGGCUCUGGAAGGUGAAGCUAGAGGAACCAGACCUCAUCAGCCCAACAUCAAAGACACCAUCGGAACAGCAGCGCCCGCAGCACCCACCCCGCACCGGCGACUCCAUCUUCAUGGCCACCCCCUGCGGCGGACGGUUGACCACCAGCCACCACAUCAUCCCAGAGCUGAGCUCCUCCAGCGGGAUGACGCCGUCCCCACCACCUCCCUCUUCUUCUUUUUCAUCCUUCUGUCUCUUUGUUUCUGAGCUUUCCUGUCUUUCCUUUUUUCUGAGAGAUUCAAAGCCUCCACGACUCUGUUUCCCCCGUCCCUUCUGAAUUUAAUUUGCACUAAGUCAUUUGCACUGGUUGGAGUUGUGGAGACGGCCUUGAGUCUCAGUACGAGUGUGCGUGAGUGUGAGCCACCUUGGCAAGUGCCUGUGCAGGGCCCGGCCGCCCUCCAUCUGGGCCGGGUGACUGGGCGCCGGCUGUGUGCCCGAGGCCUCACCCUGCCCUCGCCUAGUCUGGAAGCUCCGACCGACAUCACGGAGCAGCCUUCAAGCAUUCCAUUACGCCCCAUCUCGCUCUGUGCCCCUCCCCACCAGGGCUUCAGCAGGAGCCCUGGACUCAUCAUCAAUAAACACUGUUACAGCAA
rnacentral:lncRNA from 1 species